rnacentral:rRNA from 1 species
AUUGAACGCUGGCGGCAGGCCUAACACAUGCAAGUCGAACGGUAACAGGAAACAGCUUGCUGUUUCGCUGACGAGUGGCGGACGGGUGAGUAAUGUCUGGGGAACUGCCUGAUGGAGGGGGAUAACUACUGGAAACGGUAGCUAAUACCGCAUAACGUCGCAAGACCAAAGAGGGGGACCUUCGGGCCUCUUGCCAUCGGAUGUGCCCAGAUGGGAUUAGCUAGUAGGUGGGGUAACGGCUCACCUAGGCGACGAUCCCUAGCUGGUCUGAGAGGAUGACCAGCCACACUGGAACUGAGACACGGUCCAGACUCCUACGGGAGGCAGCAGUGGGGAAUAUUGCACAAUGGGCGCAAGCCUGAUGCAGCCAUGCCGCGUGUAUGAAGAAGGCCUUCGGGUUGUAAAGUACUUUCAGCGGGGAGGAAGGGAGUAAAGUUAAUACCUUUGCUCAUUGACGUUACCCGCAGAAGAAGCACCGGCUAACUCCGUG